rnacentral:rRNA from 1 species
CCUACGGGGGGCAGCAGUGGGGAAUAUUGGACAAUGGGCGAAAGCCUGAUCCAGCCAUGCCGCGUGUGUGAAGAAGGCCUUCGGGUUGUAAAGCACUUUCAGUGGGGAAGAAAGCCUUGGGGCUAAUACCCUCGAGGAAGGACAUCACCCACAGAAGAAGCACCGGCUAACUCCGUGCCAGCAGCCGCGGUAAUACGGAGGGUGCGAGCGUUAAUCGGAAUUACUGGGCGUAAAGCGCGCGUAGGCGGUCUGAUAAGCCGGUUGUGAAAGCCCCGGGCUCAACCUGGGAACGGCAUCCGGAACUGUCAGGCUAGAGUGCAGGAGAGGAAGGUAGAAUUCCCGGUGUAGCGGUGAAAUGCGUAGAGAUCGGGAGGAAUACCAGUGGCGAAGGCGGCCUUCUGGACUGACACUGACGCUGAGGUGCGAAAGCGUGGGUAGCAAACAGGAUUAAUACCCCAUAGUC